rnacentral:rRNA from 1 species
CAGUAGCCGCGGUAAUACGAAGGGUGCAAGCGUUACUCGGAAUUACUGGGCGUAAAGCGUGUGUAGGUGGUUGUUUAAGUCUGUCGUGAAAGCCCUGGGCUCAACCUGGGAAUUGCGAUGGAUACUGGGCGACUAGAGUGCGGUAGAGGAUAGUGGAAUUUCCGGUGUAGCAGUGAAAUGCGUAGAGAUCGGAGGGAACAUCUGUGGCGAAGGCGACUAUCUGGGCCAACACUGACACUGAGACACGAAAGCGUGGGGAGCAAACAGAAUUAGAGACCCCUGUAGUCCCUGUCUCUUAUAC